rnacentral:rRNA from 1 species
UACGUAGGGUGCAAGCGUUGUCCGGAAUUAUUGGGCGUAAAGAGCUCGUAGGCGGUUCGUCGCGUCGGCUGUGAAAACCUGAGGCUCAACCUCAGGCCUGCAGUCGAUACGGGCGGACUUGAGUACUGCAGGGGAGACUGGAAUUCCUGGUGUAGCGGUGAAAUGCGCAGAUAUCAGGAGGAACACCAAUUGCGAAGGCAGCUCGCCGGGACGUUACUGACGCUGAGACGCGAAAGCGUGGGGAGCAAACAGG